rnacentral:tRNA from 1 species
UCCCUGGUGGUCCAGUGUUUAGGACUCCGCACUCUCACGGCUAAGGGUCUAGGUUCCAUUCCUGGUCAGGGAA